rnacentral:rRNA from 1 species
UGGGGAAUAUUGGACAAUGGGCGAAAGCCUGAUCCAGCCAUGCCGCGUGUGUGAAGAAGGUCUUCGGAUUGUAAAGCACUUUAAGUUGGGAGGAAGGGCAGUAAGCGAAUACCUUGCUGUUUUGACGUUACCGACAGAAUAAGCACCGGCUAACUCUGUGCCAGCAGCCGCGGUAAUACAGAGGGUGCAAGCGUUAAUCGGAAUUACUGGGCGUAAAGCGCGCGUAGGUGGUUCGUUAAGUUGAAUGUGAAAGCCCCGGGCUCAACCUGGGAACUGCAUCCAAAACUGUCGAGCUAGAGUAGGGCAGAGGGUGGUGGAAUUUCCUGUGUAGCGGUGAAAUGCGUAGAUAUAGGAAGGAACACCAGUGGCGAAGGCGACCACCUGGGCUCAUACUGACACUGAGGUGCGAAAGCGUGGGGAGCAAACAGG